AGAGUUUGAUCCUGGCUCAGGAUGAACGCUAGCGGCAGCUUAACACAUGCAAGUCGAGGGGCAACACGGGUAGCAAUACCUGGUGGCGACCGGCGCAAGGGUGCGUAACGCGUGAGCAACAUACCCUAUACAGGGGGAUAAUCCAGGGAAACUUGGUCUAAUAUCCCAUAGGAUUUACAGAUGUCAUCAUCUAUAAAUUAAAGCUUCGGUGGUAUAGGAUUGGCUCGCGUGACAUUAGCUAGAUGGUGGGGUAACGGCCUACCAUGGCCAUGAUGUCUAGGGGUUCUGAGAGGAAGACCCCCCACACUGGGACUGAGACACGGCCCAGACUCCUACGGGAGGCAGCAGUGAGGAAUAUUGGACAAUGGAUGGAAAUCUGAUCCAGCCAUGCCGCGUGCAGGAAGACGGCCCUAUGGGUUGUAAACUGCUUUUAUAUGGGAGCAAUAAGGUCUACGCGUAGACCGAUGAGAGUACCAUAUGAAUAAGCAUCGGCUAACUCCGUGCCAGCAGCCGCGGUAAUACGGAGGAUGCGAGCGUUAUCCGGAUUUAUUGGGUUUAAAGGGUGCGUAGGCGGCCUUAUAAGUCAGCGGUGAAAUUUUGCAGCUUAACUGUAACAGUGCCGUUGAUACUGUAGGGCUAGGAUUUGGUUGCUGUGGGUGGAAUGUGUGGUGUAGCGGUGAGAUGCUUAGAUAUCACACAGAAUAUCGAUUGCGAAGGCAGCUCACAAAGCCAAGAUUGACGCUGAGGCACGAAAGUGUGGGGAUCAAACAGGAUUAGAUACCCUGGUAGUCCACACUGUAAACGAUGAUAACUCGCUGCCGGCGAUACACAGUCGGUGGCCAAGCGAAAGCGAUAAGUUAUCCACCUGGGGAGUACGACCGCAAGGUUGAAACUCAAAGGAAUUGACGG
rnacentral:rRNA from 1 species